GACGAACGCUGGCGGCGUGCUUAACACAUGCAAGUCGAACGAUGAAGCCGGAGCUUGCUCUGGUGAAUUAGUGGCGAACGGGUGAGUAACACGUGAGUAACCUGCCCUUGACUCUGGGAUAACUGCGGGAAACUGUAGCUAAUACCGGAUACGACCCUCGGAGGCAUCUCCUGGGGGUGGAAAGAAUUUCGGUCAAGGAUGGACUCGCGGCCUAUCAGCUAGUUGGUGAGGUAAAGGCUCACCAAGGCGACGACGGGUAGCCGGCCUGAGAGGGUGACCGGCCACACUGGGACUGAGACACGGCCCAGACUCCUACGGGAGGCAGCAGUGGGGAAUAUUGCACGAUGGGCGCAAGCCUGAUGCAGCAACGCCGCGUGAGGGAUGACGGCCUUCGGGUUGUAAAUCUCUUUUAGCAGGGAAGAAGCGAAAGUGACGGUACCUGCAGAAAAAGCACCGGCUAACUACGUGCCAGCCGCCGCGGUAA
rnacentral:rRNA from 1 species